rnacentral:lncRNA from 1 species
GAAAUUUUGGAUAGAGAAAUGCCUCUGCUCUGUCUCCCCAAUUAUUUCCUAUUACUCCUUUUCCUAGAAUCACUUGUAGGAUCACUUGUAGGAUUGCAACCAAUUGCAGGAUUGGGGAUUUGGUUUAUUCUGUCUUGAAUGUAUUGUUUCAUGAGAAAUUUAGCUCUCUGUCUGGAACUUAGACUGCCUAAGGAACACUUGUGUCUUAUUUUGCUUUUUUCAGAGACAGAUAAAGCUUUUCCCACACAGACCUUCAACAACAGACCUUCACCAAGUAAAGCAGGCAUCCUGAGGAGAAUUCGAUUGUGUUAUGAAACACAUAGCAAACGGAGAAAAACAGGCUUUCCUAGUGAAGAAUUCAGAGUGGCUAAGUUAUGCACGGAAUUGGGAUUUUUCUCCCUAGUAGAAAAAACAAGGAAGGUGAGUUCUUUUAGGAUGAAGUUAGUGUUUAUGACUUGGUCAGGUUGGCUUUUUUUAUUCAAAAUGUUAAAACAAAAAUUGAAAGAAGUCAUCAGACUUGACUGUGUGUGUCUGUGUGUGUACAGCAAAUGUAAUCCACUUGACAAAAAUCCUCUAUUUUGAGAGGCAGAAGAAUUUUUGACCUUCCUCUAGGAAAUAUCUGAAGUGUGUGAGAGGGGAGAAGAGUUCUUCUCUUGCUUAAGUAUCAACUGUGUGAAUUAUUGAUAAUAUGAAAGAUCAGGCUGCAUUUUGGGUAGUUAUGACUUCUAAAU